ACGGGUGAGUAACACAUCGGAACGUGCCUAGUAGUGGGGGAUAACUACUCGAAAGAGUAGCUAAUACCGCAUGAGAUCUACGGAUGAAAGCAGGGGACCUUCGGGCCUUGCGCUACUAGAGCGGCUGAUGGCAGAUUAGGUAGUUGGUGGGAUAAAAGCUUACCAAGCCGACGAUCUGUAGCUGGUCUGAGAGGACGACCAGCCACACUGGGACUGAGACACGGCCCAGACUCCUACGGGAGGCAGCAGUGGGGAAUUUUGGACAAUGGGCGAAAGCCUGAUCCAGCAAUGCCGCGUGCAGGAUGAAGGCCCUCGGGUUGUAAACUGCUUUUGUACGGAACGAAAAGACUCUCUCUAAUAAAGAGGGUUGAUGACGGUACCGUAAGAAUAAGCACCGGCUAACUACGUGCCAGCAGCCGCGGUAAUACGUAGGGUGCGAGCGUUAAUCGGAAUUACUGGGCGUAAAGCGUGCGCAGGCGGUUAUGUAAGACAGAGGUGAAAUCCCCGGGCUCAACCUGGGAACGGCCUUUGUGACUGCAUGGCUAGAGUGCGGCAGAGGGGGAUGGAAUUCCGCGU
rnacentral:rRNA from 1 species